ensembl:lncRNA
AUGGUUGAGCCUUCUGGCUCCGGUACUGGGAGACGGGGUCGUAAGACUCCUCGAGAGUCAGACUCUUUUGAGGAGCGUGAAAGGAAACGGCUCCAGGACUUAUUUGUAGAACCAACAGAUGAAGACUCAUUUGAGGGUUUUACCGAGGGAAUGGAGGAAGAGAUGGUUACCUCAGAGGAGGAUGACAUGGAGUGGACUCGUGUGAGGAAACGGCUCCGGGACUUAUUUGCAGAACCAACAGAUGAAGACUCAUUUGAGGGUUUUACCGAGGGAAUGGAGGAAGAGAUGGUUAGCUCAGAGGAGGAUGACAUGGAGUGGACUCGUGUGAGGGAGGAUUUGGGUGUCACCAGCACUGAUAGCAUGGGAGGCGAUUGGCGGGUUGCAGGAUCAGACCCAUGGACGGGCUGGAGGGAUGGAGCGGGAUCCGCAGCUGGGGAUGCUGUGGGGCGUAGUCAAAGGUGUUUUAGCUCUGAUGAGGAUGAUGAUGAUGAGGCACCUGGAAUUAGGAUAGCAGCUGACAGCGAUGAGGAGUUAUGAACUGGGAUAAAAUGGGGUUUAGGAUCAAUGGCUAAUUGCGUUGGGCAAGGUAAUCUGGACGAACGCUUGGGCUCUUGUUGGGGAACUUCCUGAAGACGGGUGUGAUUCGUUGCUGGAUACGUAAGUUACCAAGGACACUGGGCAUAGACGGCGGGAGGAACUGUGUGGGGUUUUUCUGUGCAACUUGUGUUUAAUCUUGAUAGCUUGGACCUCCGUCGUCUUUUUGACGGACAUUAAUUACCUACUCUGGAUUGACGCUGGACUGACUGACUGACUACGACCUUGGACUAUCCCUUUCUGUGGCUAUCGGUGGAACUCGUGGAACUUUAGACGCCCGCACUUGGCUUUCGACCUCGGACCGGACUGGGACCCUGCUGACCGCCGUGAUCCUGAUUGAUGUGCCUGGACCCGGAUUUCGCUCGUUGCACGGAGGAGUAACAGCCUGAGUUACUCAUCUGUAGCUUUUUGGUAGCAGAGAGGAAUCUGCUGCCAGCUUUUGAUGUUCAUUUUGACCUUUGUUUACCAACUUUUGUUUGUUUAAACUGCCAGGCUGAAGUAAGCACUUUUGAGUUAAUCCGGAUUAAACUCCUGUUUAAUCCGGUUUAUUCCUUCGAACCGUUUUAGUUCAAACUGAGCUGUUUCUGUUACUUUUCACACUGAAGACAAGUGUUUGCCUAGUCCUUUGUUUUCUACGGGCAUUUUUGUGUUCUGUAACUUUAAUAAACUGUGUUGUACUCUAUUUGGUGGCGUUCUGUCUAUGACAGAUCCUCCAAGGACAUGUAAGUUCUUUUUGUUGUGAAUCUUGAUAUUUAUAUACUAUAUAAGAUAUUAUUGGGGUGUAUUAUACAUGUCUAUUUUUAGUAUGGUUUGUAUUAUUUCUAGUAUGGUUUGUAUUAUUUUGACUCAAUUUACAUUUAAUUCUAUGAAAAGAAAUAAGACAGCAGAGCAGCAAACAGAGGGAACUCCAGGAUUACCUGAAGAAGGUCUACCUGAAGAAGGUCACCGAAACUGGAUGCAUACCCGGGAGACCAGUCGUUACUACUGACAUGGAACUUUGUUGCUAUUGACAUGGAACUUUGAUUUACUUUAAAUGAGUUACUAUUGACAUGGAACUUUGAUUUACUUUGAAUGAUCGAAUUUGAAGAAGAGUAUUACAAACCUUGAGAACACUAUCAAGAUUAUAUUUGUUAAAAUUGGACAUUGAAAUAUGUACUUAUCUGUACAGUUGGAAUAUAUAAAUUGAUAUUACAGUCAUAAUAUAUGUGAUUAUAUCACUUGAGGAAUUAUAGAACUAUAACUUACUUUAAAGUACAAUAUAUACCAUACUUUUCCUUUUUUCCUUUUUGCUGUAUAUAAUAGACAUCUGUGCAUAUAUCUGUUGAAAUUGCCCACAUACUUGUGGAUUUCAAUGACUUCUCUGUGUAGCCUGGCAUGGUGGUCCAGCAUUUCUGUGUUCUCAAAUAAUAUGCUAUGUCCAGGUUGGUUCAUCAAGUGCUCUGCUUACAAUGGCCCCUAUAGAAAGCAAAAGCCCCUAUAAAAAGCAAAUGCAUCCAUGCUUGCCUUCCAUUCAAACAAUGGUUGCAUGCAAAGGGGUGGACAUACUAGAAACAAGCACUGGAGUAAGUGCAGACAUAAACCCAUUGUCUGCCAAAUAUAUAUAUAGCCCAGAGAGAAUGAAAAUGUGCCAUAGGAGGAGCAAAGGAAGGAGGUGUUUCCCCUCCCUUACAGAUUACUUUGCUA